rnacentral:rRNA from 1 species
CCUACGGGCGGCUGCAGUGGGGAAUAUUGGGCAAUGGGCGAAAGCCUGACCCAGCGACGCCGCGUGAAGGACGAAGGCCUUCGGGUUGUAAACUUCUUUGGGGAGGGACGAAAAUGACGGUACCUCCAGAACAAGCCACGGCUAACUACGUGCCAGCAGCCGCGGUAAUACGUAGGUGGCAAGCGUUAUCCGGAUUUACUGGGUGUAAAGGGCGCGCAGGCGGCCCCAAAAGUCAGAUGUGAAAGAUCAAGGCUUAACUUUGACAUGUCAUCUGAAACUUUGGGACUUGAGUAUCAGAGGGGAAAGCGGAAUUCCUGGUGGAGCGGUAAAAUGCGCAGAGAUCAGGAGGAACACCGGUGGCGAAGGCGGCUUUCUGGCUGACAACUGACGCUGAGGCGCGAAAGCGUGGGGAGCAAACAGGAUUAGAUACCCGUGUAGUC